rnacentral:tRNA from 1 species
GCCGGUGUAGCUCAGCGGCAGAGCAGCGGCCUUUUAAGCCGAGGGUCCGGGGUUCGAAUCCCCGCGCCGGCA